UGCAGUGGGGAGUUUAUCCAGGCUCUGAGCUGAUCCUGGCCAGGCCAGCUGCUUCACUUCCUUCUUCUUCCACGCCUCUGCGGCUCCCUGCUGCCUCCCUGCUGAAUCCCACCAUUCUCUCUUAGACACUCAAAACCUAAAAAGGUGGGAAUGAAAGAAGCUCCUAACCCUCCUGGCUUUUUUCCCAAAGCCAGGAGGCAGCUCCUGAAUGGUGGAUUUUGGACUACUGGUGAGGCUGUCAGCAAAUGGCCUGGCCCAGAGAAAUGCUCAAGAGUAGGAUGAAAAGACCGUGGGCUUCUUCCUCUGCAAAAGGAAAGGUUUGGGACUGAUGGAUGCUGAAAAGUCUAGAUCUUCAUAAUCCUCAACAGCUUCACUGCCACUGCACACACAAAAUGAGUGUGCCCUAUAUUUCCAGCCCUCUGAUGAAUACGAAAAGAGCCUGAAGAACUCAUCUUCCUGGUUGCAAAGUACUUUAAAAUAUAUAAUCCCU
rnacentral:lncRNA from 1 species